AUCGAAAAUUGAAAAGGCAGUUAAUUUUAACAAAAUUUUAAUACAUUUAAAUAAAAUAUUUUUUUUGAGAGAAAAAUAGCAUGUAAUCCACUUCGUUUAUUUCAUUUAGAAAUAAAUUUAACUGAAAAUAUGAAUCAACUAGAUUUCGAAUUUAAAUUUCGGAUAUCAACCAUCAACUUUUUUUGCCUUAAAAUAUUGUAAAUCAAAAUAAUUGAAAGCAAAGGAUGUUGAUCCAAGUAAAUUAAAGCCAAAAAAAAGAAAAG
rnacentral:lncRNA from 1 species